UCCCUGGUGGCCUAGUGGUUAGGAUUCGGUGCUUUCACUGCUGUGGCCCAGGUUCAAUCCCUGGUUGGGGAA
rnacentral:tRNA from 1 species